rnacentral:rRNA from 1 species
UACAGAGGUCUCAAGCGUUGUUCGGAUUCAUUGGGCGUAAAGGGUGCGUAGGUGGCGCGGUAAGUCGGGUGUGAAAUCUCGGAGCUUAACUCCGAAAUUGCAUUCGAUACUGCCGUGCUCGAGGACUGGAGAGGAGACUGGAAUUCAUGGUGUAGCAGUGAAAUGCGUAGAGAUCAUGGGAGAGCCAGUGGCGAAGGCGGGUCUCUGGACAGUUCCUGACACUGAGGCACGGAGGCCAGGGGAGCAAACGGG